rnacentral:rRNA from 1 species
AUUGAACGCUGGCGGCAGGCCUAACACAUGCAAGUCGAGCGAGCGGCGGACGGGUGAGUAAUGUAUGUGGAUCUGCCCGAUAGAGGGGGAUAACUACUGGAAACGUUGGCUAAUACCGCAUACUAUCGGCUAAACCCCUAUGGGAUUAGCUAGUGGGUGGGGUAAAGGCUCACCUAGGCGACGAUCUCUAGCUGGUCUGAGAGGAUGAUCAGGCACACUGGGACUGAGACACGGCCCAGACUCCUACGGGAGGCAGCAGUGGGGAAUAUUGCACAAUGGGCGCAAGCCUGAUGCAGCCAUGCCGCUGGUAUGAAGAAGGCCUUAGGGUUGUAAAGUACUUUCAGCGGGGAGGCGUUACCCGCAGAAGAAGCACCGGCUAACUCCGUGCCAGCAGCCGCGGUAAUUC